UCGCUUUAGUGAAAAAAGCUGAAACUUAUCACCGAACUUUGAAACACCUACGUGAAACACAAAUCAUGAUCGCACUCUUCAAUUGCAUCUCUACCUCAACCUCGCUGCGACUUAACGGCCAAUAAUCACGGCGGCGUGUUCUAUCUUCUCUGUUUCAUUGUGAAAGCUCGUGUCUCCUUGAUAUAGCAUCGCAUUCCGAGUUUUCGUCAAAUUCCACUCAAAUUCAUAUUUCAGUUACAAAUUAACAAAUUAACAAUUCUGUUAGGAGGUUGAAACUUGAGUAACAGAACCGGAGUAAAUGGAAGCUCGAAUGAUAAAAUCAAAGAUAUAAUUAUGAUGAACUUCCCAACCUCAGCAGAGCCACCAAUGACUGCAAUAAUCAACCUGGAACUAUGGCUCAACAACGGGUUAACUCAUUCCGGAUCCAUAGUGUCAAUUGCAGAUCCAGAAGUCUUUGCAUGACAUACCGCCCUGCGCAAGUUUCUGUUAUCGCAGAACUUCAGAACUUCAGCCUGGAGCAAGCGAAGCAACUCCUGACAGCUUUGAAAUCCACUUCCUCAUUCAACUUUGAAGAAUUGCAAACUGCAUCAUUUACAGAAAUGUAUAAUCUGCAAGAUCUUGAACUGGCCGAGGUAUUUUCCUAGAAAGCACCAAUACCGAGUGUAGGAAGAGAUUGUGGCAGGUGAUUGAAUGGUUGUCUACUUCAGUUUUGCAAAAAAUUGGCAUUGAGUUAUGUUGUAGCUUCGUGCAGCUUGGCCUUUUAUGGUUGUUUUGAUGGUGCAACUUGGCAUAUUGUGCAGCAUAGUCCUGCUGGUAUAAUGUUGUGUAUUUGCUGCUACAACAACUUGGUCAGGCUGGUAUUGCAGGUUCUUACUGCAGGUGUACGAUGUGGUUUAUUGCACUGCACUGGUUCCAUGUUGUGCAUUGUUUUGGAUGGGUCCUUGUACUGCUUCAUGUAGUUCUGCAGGUGUGGUUUAUGGUCUUGUUGGAUUGGCUUUGCAGCAUGUGUGGGCAUCGUGUAUUAUCAUGACUUGUUCAUGGUGUUGUAAUUUAACUGAACGUUAUGACUUGGUGUAUGGUUAUGUAUAAAGUGGAAUUGGUUAUUAAACGGAUAUGUAAUGGGUUUGAAAUUGUAAUGUGGAUUUGAUACUUAAAUGAAUAUUGGAUAUUAGAAUGGA